CCUACGGGCGGCAGCAGUGGGGAAUAUUGCACAAUGGGGGGAACCCUGAUGCAGCGACGCCGCGUGGGUGAAGAAGCGCCUCGGCGCGUAAAGCCCUGUCAGCAGGGAAGAAAAUGACGGUACCUGAAGAAGAAGCCCCGGCUAACUACGUGCCAGAAGCCGCGGGAAUACGUAGGGGGCAACCGUUAUCCGGAUUUACUGGGUGUAAAGGGGGCGCAGACGGCGAUGCAAGCCAGGAGUGAAAGCCCGGGGCCCAACCCCGGGACUGCUCUUGGAACUGCGUGGCUGGAGUGCAGGAGGGGCAGGCGGAAUGCCUGGUGUAGCGGUGAAAUGCGUAGAUAUCAGGAGGAACACCGGUGGCGAAGGCGGCCUGCUGGACUGCAACUGACGUUGAGGCCCGAAAGCGUGGGGAGCAAACAGGAUUAGAUACCCCAGUAGUC
rnacentral:rRNA from 1 species